rnacentral:rRNA from 1 species
ACGCUCGACACCUACGGGGGCAGCAGUGGGGAAUAUUGGGCAAUGGGCGAAAGCCUGACCCAGCAACGCCGCGUGAGGGAAGAAGGUUUUCGGAUUGUAAACCUCUGUCCUCAGGGACGAAGGACGUGACGGUACCUGAGGAGGAAGCCCCGGCUAACUACGUGCCAGCAGCCGCGGUAAUCUGAGGCGGGCUGGCAAGGC